ensembl:lncRNA LOC102555043 uncharacterized LOC102555043
GAUGACUCACGCAGUCGGGCCUCCGCCCCGCCGGGCCGCGCGCACGUGAGCGCGCAGCUCGGCCGGUCUAAUUUUAGCUCUGAGGUGUCAGGGUCGUGUGAGCUUCUGGCACCAUGAAAACACGGAGAAAGGUUAUAGGUCAGUUCCAGUUCUAUUUUUCUGUCCCGUAACCAAGGAACGUGGGAUCUUUAGCCAAUGGAGUCUCACCAUCUUGUUCUGCCAUCAAGACCCUUCACCAGAGGAUGCUUAAGAAGAUGAGAUCAAGACAACCUGGGGAUGGCCAGGCUUUGGCACAGAGCCUGGCACUCGCUCGCUGCUUUCGUGUUUGUUAAGUAUUUGUUAGUAAGUGAAGCUGCUUUACACUCCAGCCAUCAAGACCCUUCACCAGAGGAUGCUUAAGAAGAUGAGAUCAAGACAACCUGGGGAUGGCCAGGCUUUGGCAUCACACCUGAAGGUUCUGUUGUCAGCCACCCAGAGAGUCUCAGACAUUUAAUCUGUCCUCUCUCCAGUCUGACUUUCUUGUGGUACUAAAUAAGAAAGGGAAAAGGAGGAAGCCAGUUACACAGGAACAUUCAUCCUUCUUCCUCCUGAUAGCAGUGUGAGGAGACACCUCACCCUCUGGAUGCCAGAGAACUCUGUGCACUUCCAUGAACUAAAACAAGCCUGCCCUGCCUCAGGUCGCUUUUGCCAGGCAUUUUGUCAUAGCGAUGACAACAGUGACUCAGAGCUUUAGAGGUUCUGAGAGCUUGUAUGUAGAGCUUGCUUUUUCCUCAAGAGUGGUGUGGAAUCUCAUUCACAUAAGGUGUCUCAUCUCUACAAGGAGUCUUUAGAGGUCUUCUCUGUGGCCCAAGAUCACCAAGACCUCGGAUCACAUGCUUUUGUACAUGACUGUUUGUGCUAUACAACAACUGGUCCCCAGAGCCUGGCCUCUUCCAAGGAUGAGUGGGAAUCACACACAUAUAUAUACACACCACACUUAUACCCACAUACCUGCACACAUGUACACAUGCAUACACACAUGCUCACACGCAUAUACACAUGCUCACACAUAUACACACACAUGCUCACACUCACAUACACAUGCUCACACAUACACACAUGCACACACACACACUCACACAUACAUGCUCACACUCAUACAUGCUCACACAUAUACACACAUGCAUAUACACACAUGCUCACAUGCACAUACACACACAGGCAUUUCUACUCAUACCAGGGAGCCUUGUCUCUGAACUGAUUGUCACUAAAUCCUCACAUCUAAGCUUGUCCUCCCUUAGGAAAUGUGUCACUUUUACUGUCACCUAGCUCAUCCAUCAGUCCUGUCACCCACUUGGGUCUCUGGCAAGUUUGGCCAGCACAGCACUUCCCACUGCUACACGGCUGUAUUGGAUACACCCCUCUGUACUUGUGAAUAAAGUCACUGAGGUUCCUUGCUGCCUUUCUUCCUCUGGUUCUCUCUGGACAGAAAGCUCCAGAAAUCAGAUUCACUUUCCUGCCACUGCUGCUAAUGAGUGAGUGCAUGAAAGAGCUGGUUCCUGUGGGUUUAUAGAUGCUCUAAAAUCAUUGUUACUUUGUUUUUAUUUUUGAGACUGGGUCUUACUUUGUAGCCUUGGCUGGUCUGG